rnacentral:rRNA from 1 species
UACGGGGGGGGUAAGCGUUGUUCGGAAUUACUGGGCGUAAAGGGCUCGUAGGCGGCCAACUAAGUCAGACGUGAAAUCCCUCAGCUUAACUGGGGAACUGCGUCUGAUACUGGAUGGCUUGGAUUCGGGAGAGGAAUGCGGAAUUCCAGGUGUAGCGGUGAAAUGCGUAGAUAUCAGGAGGAACACCGAUGGCGAAGGCAGGUCUCUGGGCCACUACUGACGCUGAGAAGCGAAAGCAUGGGGAGCGAACAGG